CACCUACUCCCUCCGUUCGGAAUUACUUGUCUCGGAAAUGGAUAUAUCUAGAACUAAAAUACGUCUAGAUACAUCCAUUUCUGCGACAAGUAAUUCCAAACGGAGGGAGUAUAUG
rnacentral:pre_miRNA from 1 species